AGGAGCCAUACGUUGGUACUGACGAGCAGCCAUACCUCCUUUUCUUCCUUUUGCUUCAACCACUAACAAUUUCCUCUUCUGAAUUCUUCUAUUUGUUGUCGAAACAACGGAAUGUUUUAGCACUGAAAAUUCUUCAUGGGUUCUUGAAUUUGAAAGAGGUAAUCUAACAAGAGGAUUCAAAGACAUAGCCACCUCCAUUUUUUCUAUUUUUCUGUUUUCUUCAAUUUUUUGAGGUGUUUU
rnacentral:misc_RNA from 1 species